CCUACGGGCGGCAGCAGUGAGGAAUAUUGGUCAAUGGCCGGAAGGCUGAACCAGCCAUGCCGCGUGAAGGUCAGUGCCCUAUGGGCGUUAAACUUCUUUUGUGCGGGAGCAAUAAUGGUCACGUGUGGCCAGACGAGAGUACCGUACGAAUAAGCAUCGGCUAACUCCGUGACAGUAGCCGCGGGAAUACGGGGGAUGCAAGCGUUAUCCGGAUUUAUUGGGUUUAAAGGGUGCGUAGGCUGUGAGGUAAGUCAGCGGUGAAAUGCCCCCGCUCAACGGGGUGAAGUGCCAUUGAUACUGCCUUGCUUGAAUGCGGAUGCCGUGGGAGGAAUGUGUGGUGUAGCGGUGAAAUGCAUAGAUAUCACACAGCACACCGAUUGCGAAGGCAUCUCACGAAUCCGCGAUUGACGCUGAUGCACGAAAGCGUGGGUAUCAAACAGGAUUAGAUACCCUGGUAGUC
rnacentral:rRNA from 1 species